GGAGAGUAUAGCUCAGUGGUUACAGCGCAUGCUUGGUGUGCACGAGGUCCUGGGUUCAAUCCCCAGUACCUCCA